rnacentral:misc_RNA from 1 species
UGCUUCCCUUUAGGGUUUUCCUCUACAUAAAUCACCACCACCUAUACCACCCAGCGAGCGCCACACCGCCUACUAUUUCUCUACUUUUUUUAAUUACUCUCCGAACAUCAAAACGAGGUUUUUAUUUUCUUUCUUUCACAAUUCAAAAUUACGCGGGUUCACAAUCUUCUUUGGCAAGACUCAGAGGAGACAAGGACUACAAUAACCAUACUCUAAUGUCGAAUCUUCUCCGUACAAUACUUGACUCAGUUGAUUUAGCCAAUCAGUCUCACAAGUAACAUCAAUGAUGUGAUAGGCUAAUUUGUAUCGUGUAAUAUGUAAGCUUUUCUCUUCCUCCUAAUGGCCUGUAGAGCGGACGUAAAAGGCGCGCUUUUCUAGAUCUUCUUGGUUGGGCCCAACAAUUGUAGAAGGCGCAGAGGCCUAGAAGAACAUACAAAACAAUCGGGCAUCUCUAGUGCAUUGUCGGGUUCGGGUUUCUAGCGGCGGCUCUCGAACAGUUACAGGGAUACCGAAUGUGGCGGCGAAGUGCUUUUCCAGUGGAAAUCCUCCUUCCGAACCUAACUUAUUUUUAUUUCCUUCUUUAUGAAUACUACAUGCUAAUCAUUUAUCUGUUUCAGGGGAAUUCAGAUUCUGAUCAGAGCAUUUCUGGUAAUUUUAGCUUUAUCGUAUGAAUUUGCAGUGUUAUGUUAGGGUUUUUUGAUCGGUUUUUGGUUCGUGUAAUAACAUGACAGAUGGGGAGGAAUUAAAUGGCGAUUUGGUAGACAAUUGCUUUUCUUUGAAUGCGAAUGCAGAGAAAGAGGCAAGUUCUUAUUUCUAUUGCUCAAUUUGAUUUUGAAAAUUUGAUCCUGAUCACAGCAUUUCCAGUGAAGCUAUCUAUAUGUGUAAAUCUUCAUUGCCUUUUGGCUUCGUGGAAGUUUGAGUUUUUUCAGUAACCAUUAUUUUGUGCACAUAAGCACUAUUUUGAAUUUUUGUAUUCCAACGGAGCUUUUAAGUUUUUUUGUUGAUAUAUAUCAGUACUCUUAUUCUUACUAUACUUUUGUAUAUCUAUAGCGAGGAUUCCUACUUCAGUCGCGAAUGGAGAUACUAGGUAUGAAAGAUGGAAGUUUGGG